rnacentral:rRNA from 1 species
GAUGCGCCNCUUAAAUGCAAGUUCGAGCGGGGACUUAGCUUAGCACCGAUUACUUGGCUUCNGGAUCGGCGGUCUUGGGAUAUUCNAGAGGAUGAACCAAAGACGCGGGCGAUCUCNACCGGCCUGUCGAUACGCUUCUAUAUAAAUGGAGCGUGGUCGAUGGAACCGGGUGGGCGAAGGAAUGGGUGCUGAGAUAAGUUCUAGCGGCGGACGGGUGAGUAACGCGUGAGCAACCUGUCCCGGUCAGGGGGAUAACACUUGGAAACAGGUGCUAAUACCGCAUGAGACCACGGCAUCGCAUGGUGCAGGGGUCAAAGGAGAAAUCCGGACUGGGAGGGGCUCGCGUCUGAUUAGCUAGUUGGUGGGGUAAUGGCUCACCAAGGCGACGAUCAGUAGCCGACCUGAGAGGGUGAUCGGCCACACUGGGACUGAGACACGGCCCAGACUCCUACGGGAGGCAGCAGUGGGGAAUAUUGGGCAAUGGGGGAAACCCUGACCCAGCAACGCCGCGUGGGGGAAGAAGGUUUUCGGAUUGUAAACCCCUGUCCUCAGGGAAGAAAAAAAUGACGGUACCUGAGGAGGAAGCCCCGGCUAACUACGUGCCAGCAGCCGCGGUAAUACGUAGGGGGCGAGCGUUGUCCGGAAUGACUGGGCGUAAAGGGCGCGUAGGCGGCCUGAUAAGUCUGGAGUGAAAGUCCUGCUUUCAAGGUGGGAAUUGCUUUGGAUACUGUCGGGCUUGAGUGCGGAAGAGGUAAGUGGAAUUCCCCAGUGUAGCGGUGAAAUGCGUAGAGAUUGGGAGGAACACCAGUGGCGAAGGCGACUUACUGGGCCNUAACUGACCCUGANGCGCNAAAGCNUGGGGAGCCNAACAGGAUUAGAUACCCUGGUAGUCCCACCCUGUAAANCCAUGAAUGCUAGGUGUAGUGGGGUAUCNACCCCCUGCNGUGCCNGNAUUAANCCCAAUAANCCNUUCCCCCCUGGGGGAAUUACNGCCCCCAAGGUUUGAAAC